AGGCUUGUAUGAAUGGUUGGACAAAAAGUAAGCUGUCUCAAUUAUAAUAAUUGAAUUUAACUUUUAAGUGAAAAGGCUUAAAUAAAUUAAGGGGACGAUAAGACCCUAUAAAGCUUGACAAUAAUUUAAUUAUACUAUCAAUUGUUAGUAUAACUUGGUUUUAAUUAAUAUUUGUUGCGUUGGGGCGACGAGAAUAUAAUAGGUAACUGUUCUUAAAUAUUUAAUAACAAAUAUAAUUGGAAAUUAGUAUGAUCCUCUAUUAGCGAUUAAAAGAUUAAGUUACUUUAGGGAUAACAGCGUAAUCU
rnacentral:rRNA from 1 species